rnacentral:rRNA from 1 species
UACGUAGGGCGCAAGCGUUAUCCGGAAUUAUUGGGCGUAAAGAGCUCGUAGGCGGUUUGUCGCGUCUGCCGUGAAAGUCCGGGGCUCAACUCCGGAUCUGCGGUGGGUACGGGCAGACUAGAGUGAUGUAGGGGAGACUGGAAUUCCUGGUGUAGCGGUGAAAUGCGCAGAUAUCAGGAGGAACACCGAUGGCGAAGGCAGGUCUCUGGGCAUUAACUGACGCUGAGGCGCGGCAGCGUGGGGAGCAAACAGG